UAUCUGACCGCAACUUUUCCAUUAAAAAUGGACCAAGAACAACAACACAUACAAAAAUUAUUACAAUGUUGGAACUUUUCCUAGAUACCCCAUUCCCCAUUCUCAUAGCACUUGUUCUCUUCAUUCUUUACUUUCGCUAUGCUGUCGUUCUCUUCUUUCUUAUCCUUCUCUUUGCUUUCUGUUCCCAUUUCAUUCUCAUUCUCUUCGAUCCCCUUUCUCGUCCAUGACUAUGGCUAUUACUAAUCAUUCCUCACCUCCUCCAUCACCCUCUACCAAAACGGUGAGGGUAAUGAUUAAAGGGAAGGUGCAGGGAGUGUUUUAUAGGAACUGGACAGUUGGAGUAUGCAACCCAAUUGGGGUUAAAAGGUUGGGUGAGGAACAGAAGGGAUGGUUCUGUGGAGGCUCUAUUCUCUGGUAAUUCUGAUAAUGUACAGGAAAUGGAGCAGAGGUGCCGCCGUGGCCCACCUGAUGCUAUGGUUACUGCUUCCAGGUUUUCCCUUCCACUGAUGACCCCGGAACUGGAUUUCAGCGCAAAGCAACAGUUUGAUGAGUCUUAGCGAAAAUUGCCUAUAGAAGAUUUCUGCUUCAGUUUGUAUAGUUCCUGCUCAACAUAAAUUACAGUUUUAUAUCCUGUUUAGAAAUUUACACGACGCAGUUCUGAAUUAUCAAUUGUCUUGUUGAAUACACAAUGAAAUUUCAAGUUUAUGAUAUAUUAGUCUUUUAAUA